GCAGGCUUAACACAUGCAAGUCGAACGCCCCGCAAGGGGAGUGGCAGACGGGUGAGUAACGCGUGGGAAUCUACCGUGCCCUGCGGAAUAGCUCCGGGAAACUGGAAUUAAUACCGCAUACGCCCUACGGGGGAAAGAUUUAUCGGGGUAUGAUGAGCCCGCGUUGGAUUAGCUAGUUGGUGGGGUAAAGGCCUACCAAGGCGACGAUCCAUAGCUGGUCUGAGAGGAUGAUCAGCCACAUUGGGACUGAGACACGGCCCAAACUCCUACGGGAGGCAGCAGUGGGGAAUAUUGGACAAUGGGCGCAAGCCUGAUCCAGCCAUGCCGCGUGAGUGAUGAAGGCCUUAGGGUUGUAAAGCUCUUUCACCGGAGAAGAUAAUGACGGUAUCCCGGAGAAGAAGCCCCGGCUAACUUC
rnacentral:rRNA from 1 species